UUCCAAAAUGUAGCAAAAACAGGGCCUGCAUACUUGGCAGGGAUUUAAACCAGCUCAGGUCAAUGUCUGUUUUCUGCCCAAAGAAGAGUCUGUGCAUUUGCCCCAGACCAGGAAAAUAACACCGAAAAACAUGGGGAACAACAACUAAUAGUGUGAGCUCUAAUGUCAGGCUGGCCAUGGAAUAUUGUUUGGAGCAACUCAGGAAUUACUCGGCCGGAGCUGCAGUGCGGCGUCGCAAAACCUUUGGAGGACAGUGAGCUGGAGAAUACAGAUGGCAUUGUGGGACACAGCUUUACCGAAAAGAGGAGAGGAAGGUGAAAGGCUGCCUUGAGAUGGGGAAGGAAAGCUCCAGAAUUUCCUGUUUCUAGACAAGGAGAACAGAUAAUACCUCUCUUCCUGGCAUAAAAAUAAAAAUUAAAA